GACGAACGCUGGCGGCGUGCUUAACACAUGCAAGUCGAACGGAAAGGCCCUGCUUUUGUGGGGUGCUCGAGUGGCGAACGGGUGAGUAACACGUGAGUAACCUGCCCUUGACUUUGGGAUAACUUCAGGAAACUGGGGCUAAUACCGGAUAGGAGCUCCUGCUGCAUGGUGGGGGUUGGAAAGUUUCGGCUGUUGGGGAUGGACGCGCGGCUUAUCAGCUUGUUGGUGGGGUAGUGGCUUACCAAGGCUUUGACGGGUAGCCGGCCUGAGAGGGUGACCGGCCACAUUGGGACUGAGAUACGGCCCAGACUCCUACGGGAGGCAGCAGUGGGGAAUAUUGCACAAUGGGCGGAAGCCUGAUGCAGCAACGCCGCGUGCGGGAUGACGGCCUUCGGGUUGUAAACCGCUUUCGCCUGUGACGAAGCGUGAGUGACGGUAAUGGGUAAAGAAGCACCGGCUAACUACGUG
rnacentral:rRNA from 1 species